GCAGCGGUUUUGGUUCCCCCGCGAGGGGGCGAAGAGGGAAUCAGGUGAGAAUCCUGAACAGUCCCGCUGCUGUGAGUUCCAACAAGUUGCACAGCUUUUAACCAAGGGUCACUGUGGCGCCAGCAGGUGCUAUGGGAAGGCCAAAAGUUGUGUGGAAUGAGUCAGAAGACCUGCCAAAGCUA
rnacentral:ncRNA from 1 species